rnacentral:rRNA from 1 species
AGUGAACGCUGGCGGUAGGCCUAACACAUGCAAGUCGAACGGCAGCACAGUAAGAGCUUGCUCUUACGGGUGGCGAGUGGCGGACGGGUGAGGAAUACAUCGGAAUCUACUUUUUCGUGGGGGAUAACGUAGGGAAACUUACGCUAAUACCGCAUACGACCUACGGGUGAAAGCAGGGGAUCUUCGGACCUUGCGCGAUUGAAUGAGCCGAUGUCGGAUUAGCUAGUUGGCGGGGUAAAGGCCCACCAAGGCGACGAUCCGUAGCUGGUCUGAGGGGAUGAUCAGCCACACUGGAACUGAGACACGGUCCAGACUCCUAUGGGAGGCAGCAGUGGGGAAUAUUGGACAAUGGGCGCAAGCCUGAUCCAGCCAUACCGCGUGGGUGAAGAAGGCCUUCGGGUUGUAAAGCCCUUUUGUUGGGAAAGAAAAGCAGCAGGUUAAUACCCCGCUGUUCUGACGGUACCCAAAGAAUAAGCACCGGCUAACUUCGUG